AGUGAACGCUGGCGGUAGGCCUAACACAUGCAAGUCGAACGGCAGCACAGUAAGAGCUUGCUCUUACGGGUGGCGAGUGGCGGACGGGUGAGGAAUACAUCGGAAUCUACUUUUUCGUGGGGGAUAACGUAGGGAAACUUACGCUAAUACCGCAUACGACCUACGGGUGAAAGCAGGGGAUCUUCGGACCUUGCGCGAUUGAAUGAGCCGAUGUCGGAUUAGCUAGUUGGCGGGGUAAAGGCCCACCAAGGCGACGAUCCGUAGCUGGUCUGAGAGGAUGAUCAGCCACACUGGAACUUAGACACGGUCCAGACUCCUACGGGAGGCAGCAGUGGGGAAUAUUGGACAAUGGGCGCAAGCCUUAUCCAACCAUACCGCGUGUGUGAAGAAGGCCUUCGGUUUGUAAAGCCCUUUUGUUGGGAAAGAAAAGCAGCAGGUUAAUACCCCGCUGUUCUGACGGUACCCAAAGAAUAAGCACCGGCUAACUUCGUG
rnacentral:rRNA from 1 species